rnacentral:misc_RNA from 1 species
AGCUGGUAUUGGCGGGUAUUGUGGUAUAAUCCACGAGUGUUAUCUCGAUGUGGAUGAAAUACUAGCCCGUGACAAAAGUGGUGUUCGUUUGGCCCACGCUUGUUUCCAAACCAUGGCCAAUCCCCAUGAAAGUCGUCUAUCCCAGCCUGGAAUCAAUCCACGAAUGAACAGUUGUGGAACUCAUCCCGGCCAACGGCGUAGAAGCAAUGACGGCGACACGAUUUGGAGGAAGUGACGGCGGCGACACAAGGCCCCUUCCACUGAUGUAUGCCCUCUUCGUUGGCGAUCUUCUCUCGUGUAGAGUCGUCGCCAUCGUCUUCUUCUUGGGAAAAAUCUGUUAUUGGCUUUGUAUAUUGAUAAGAAAACAACUACAACGCACCAAUAGUGUGCUGGGAACUAUGUACAUUUUCUGUUGGGGAGAACUAGCGAUGUUAUUCAUCCUAUUGCAAGCUGUUGCUUUGGCCGACCUGCCUUUUUGUUGUUACUUUGUGCACUUCUGCUUAUCUGCUUUUCACGGACUUGUAAUUCCCAGUCUUUCAUAUACAUUCCUUCCUUUGUCUUUUGUACGUUUUUAAAUUCUUGCAUUUUAAAGAGUGCCUUAGUUCCUAGUUGCAUGUGCAUGUUGGGUUGCUCUUGUGGGUUGUGGCAUAGAGAUGGGGAAUUGCUUCUGUCGGAGAGAAAAUUCUCCGGCCAGGUGGCGGAAUGCACCCUCCCUAAAUCCUAAGAUGAGGAGGGGCCUAAGCGUUUUGCCCGUCUGCUAAGCGAUGAAUGAACACAAGAACACACAAGGGUUUAGAGUAGUUCGGGCCGUCAGAGCGUAAUACCCUACUCCACUGUGUGAUGUAUUGAGCUUGAGAGCUUGUAUGAACUUGUGAGCUUGAGCUAGGUCUAAGUCAGCUUGAGUUGUAAUGUUGCGUGCCUCCCCUUUUAUAGCUAAAGGGGGGCACACACAAGGGUGCUGAGCCCCGACAUGCGGGCCCAGGGA